rnacentral:rRNA from 1 species
AUGGCAUUGGCGACCAAUUUCGAACACACAAGUGUGACCACAAGGGAGUUUAAACUCGAGUUCUUGGAACAGAUUACAGAUAAUUUUUCUAAGGAGCGCAUCAUUGGUAGGGGUGGUUAUGGAGUAGUUUACAAGGGAAUACUGGAAAAUGGGGAAGAGGUUGCUCUCAAGAAGCUCCAUAGAAUUGGGGCCCCAGAUGACGUUCAAUUUAUGAAUGAAUUUAAUAACCUUAUGAGGGCUCAACAUCCAAAUAUUACCCGGCUGGUUGGCUACUGCUAUGAUGUGAGACCUCAACGCCUCAAAUACAAAGAUAAAUAUAUUAUUUCCUUUGUGGAAGAAAGAGUUCUCUGCUUCGAAUAUUUGCAGGGUGGAAGCCUUGACCAGCAUAUUUCUGAUGAAUCGUGCAUACUUGAUUGGCACACAUGUUUCAAAAUUAUCAAGGGAGUUUGCCUGGGUUUGAAUUACCUUCAUAAUGGGUCCAAAGAUCCUAUUUACCAUCUUGAUUUGAAGCCUGCUAAUAUAUUGUUGGACCAGAACAUGGUCCCAAAAAUUGGAGAUUUUGGUUUGUCAAGGCUCUUCCCUUCAGCACAAACCUGUAUUGCAAGCAAAAUUAUAGGAACACUUGGAUACAUGCCACCAGAAUAUAUUGAGAGAAAGAAAAUAACAUCAAAGUAUGAUGUAUUCAGUCUGGGUGUUAUCAUCAUACGGAUAAUAGCAGGACAUGAGGGCUACUCCAAAUGCGCACAUACGCCUUUGCAAGAAUUUCUUGAGCAUGUACAUGAAAACUGGGGAAAACGACUACAGACAACAAUGCCACCACAUACAUCAGAUCAAAUUCAAACAUGCAUCGAAAUAGCACUAAGAUGUGUGGAGGUUGAUCGUGAGAAAAGGCCAACUAUAGCCGAGAUUGUCGGUGAACUAAACAAGGUUGGUACUGACCAAAGUCCACUGCAGGGCAGGCAUAACCAAACAUCAUCCUCUGCAUAUGCAUCCUCUAAUUAG